UUUCUCUAAAUUUACACCUUAUGUUUCAUUUACCAUUGGAGAAAAAAAUAAUAACUGUUGAAACCAGUGCAGUAUUUUAAUAAAUAUUUUAAAAUUUAAUAAAAUUACAGUUAAUUUUAAGACACAGGUGAAUUUUCAACUUCAAAGCCAGUUCUCCUAUAUUCCCAGUUGUGUGGAAGUAAACAUCUUUUUUCCUAUAUAAUAAUCAACUUUCAACUUCCAUGUUCUAUGCUGGCUAUGGGCUGGAUUAUACGCCAACAUGAAACAUGGACAUUAAAUUAUGAUGAUUAUAUAUCUAUAUUUCAUGUUAUGUUAAGAGGUAAUGCACAAUACCAGAAUUUUUAACAAGAGUCAAAUAUAACAGACUAUUCCAAAUCAUUGUUAGAGUAUCCAUGUAAGUGGAGUGAAGACCAGUUAGUUUGUAGUUGUCUUAGUUGUAAUAAUGAAAUCAAACCAAGUAGUGAUAUUUUGCAAUCAUUUGAUACAGAUGUUUCAGGUUUAUGUAAUAGCCAACUUAAUGCUCUAAACACAUAUAUAUUACAACAUUUGUGUCAAUUUCUUCAUACUUUUGAAAUGCUUUACUGAGGGAGGUUUAUGUAAUGGAUCCAUUUCCCACUAUAUAUUAUGCAAGCCUGAAAUGGCCCUAUCCACUCCCACUGUACCCAACAGUGCAGAAUUCAAAGGAAACUACUCUGGCAGCUCCACAGGGCCAGCCUAUCUAUACAAGAAAUACAUUUGUUUAGAUAAUCCAGAAAUGAACACCAAGCCAGGUGCAGGUAGAAGAUAUUAACUGCAGAAAUGCAUACUGGAUGAAAAGUGUAACGGAAAAAGAAAUAUGGUAGGAAUGAGAAGAUAAAGCAUGAAGCAUCUACACAAGAAACAAUUUAAAUUCUAAAUCUAGCUUUUAUCUAUGUAUGGAUAAAUAGAUAGUUUAAGCUUUUUUUAUUAUUAAUAAUCUUGAGUUACUCUAACUUCUGCCAAUAUUAUAUAAUUUUAUAUAAAUAAAUACCUUGCAGUUAAAUGUU